UGGGGAAUAUUGCACAAUGGGCGCAAGCCUGAUGCAGCAACGCCGCGUGAACGAUGAAGGUCUUCGGAUCGUAAAGUUCUGUUGCAGGGGAAGAUAAUGACGGUACCCUGUGAGGAAGCUCCGGCUAACUACGUGCCAGCAGCCGCGGUAAUACGUAGGGGGCUAGCGUUAUCCGGAUUUACUGGGCGUAAAGGGUGCGUAGGUGGUCUUUCAAGUCGGUGGUUAAAGGCUACGGCUCAACCGUAGUUAGCCUCCGAAACUGGAAGACUUGAGUGCAGGGGAGGAAAGUGGAAUUCCCAGUGUAGCGGUGAAAUGCGUAGAUAUUGGGAGGAACACCAGUAGCGAAGGCGGCUUUCUGGACUGCAACUGACACUGAGGCACGAAAGCGUGGGUAGCAAACAGG
rnacentral:rRNA from 1 species